rnacentral:rRNA from 1 species
GACGAACGCUGGCGGCGUGCUUAACACAUGCAAGCCGAACGAUGAAGCCCAGCUUGCUGGGUGGAUUAGUGGCGAACGGGUGAGUAACACGUGGGCAACCUGCCCCAAACCCUGGGAUAACUCCUCGAAAGAGGUGCUAAUACCGGAUACGAACUAGACAGACAUCUGUACAAGUUGGAAAGUUUUUCGGUUUGGGAUGGGCCCGCGGCCUAUCAGCUUGUUGGUGAGGUAACGGCUCACCAAGGCUACGACGGGUAACCGGCCUGAGAGGGCGACCGGUCACACUGGGACUGAGACACGGCCCAGACUCCUACGGGAGGCAGCAGUGGGGAAUAUUGCGCAAUGGGCGAAAGCCUGACGCAGCGACGCCGCGUGAGGGAUGAAGGUCUUCGGAUCGUAAACCUCUUUCAGUAGGGACGAAGCGAAAGUGACGGUACCUAAAGAAGAAGCACCGGCCAACUACGUGCCAGCCGCCGCUGUAA